rnacentral:misc_RNA from 1 species
GGAAGAUACACCAUUCAUCGUGACAGCUACGACAAAGUAUUCCCUAGGGCUCAUCACUUCAAAGGUUCAAAUGCACGCGUUGAGUCAUCAAAGGACUCAGGAAUGGUGACAAUGAAUGGAAUGAACCUGGUGGAAAUGUUUUUAGAUACGAAUAAAUGGGUUGAUCUUUUUCCAACAAUUGUUACUAGAGCAAGCAUAAUUCAAGUACUUGAAACUGGAUUGAUAGGAAACCGAAGUGGUUCCUUGCAGCUGAUGUAUGAACAGAUGCACAUACUUUCUCCCUUGGUUCCAUCGAGGGAAUUCUGCUUCCUUCGUCAAUGUCAGCAAAUUGAGGCUGACACAUGGGUGAUCGCAGAUGUAUCCUAUGACUGCUUAAAAGAAAAUGGCUUCUCGUCCCGCUCUUGGAG